rnacentral:rRNA from 1 species
CUACGGGUUGCUGCAGUGAGGAAUAUUGCACAAUGGGGGGAACCCUGAUGCAGCAACGCCGCGUGGAGGAUGACGCAUUUCGGUGUGUAAACUCCUUUUAUAUGUCAAGAAAAUGACGGUAGCAUAUGAAUAAGCACCGGCUAACUCCGUGCCAGCAGCCGCGGUAAUACGGAGGGUGCAAGCGUUACUCGGAAUCACUGGGCGUAAAGGACGCGUAGGCGGGUUGAAGAGUCAGGUGUGAAAUCCUACAGCUUAACUGUAGAACUGCACUUGAAACUUCUAAUCUAGAGUAUGGGAGGGGGAGAUGGAAUUAGUGGUGUAGGGGUAAAAUCCGUAGAUAUCACUAGGAAUACCUAAAGCGAAGGCGAUCUCCUGGAACAUUACUGACGCUAAGGCGUGAAAGCGUGGGGAGCAAACAGGAUUAGAUACCCCUGUAGUC